UACGUAGGGGGCUAGCGUUGUUCGGAAUUACUGGGCGUAAAGCGCACGUAGGCGGCUUUGUAAGUUAGAGGUGAAAGCCCGGGGCUCAACUCCGGAAUUGCCUUUAAGACUGCAUCGCUAGAAUUGUGGAGAGGUAAGUGGAAUUCCGAGUGUAGAGGUGAAAUUCGUAGAUAUUCGGAAGAACACCAGUGGCGAAGGCGGCUCACUGGACUGGUAUUGACGCUGAGGUGCGAAAGCGUGGGGAGCAAACAGG
rnacentral:rRNA from 1 species